rnacentral:lncRNA from 1 species
GUGAGUGGUGUGGCGGGAGUAUGGGAGACAUAUGGAUAUGGUGAUGAUGCAACUGAAGCUAGACAGGGAAAGGAAGCCAGAACCUGGGAGGAGGUAUUAUAGGGUCUAGAAUGACAUUGAAUGUCCUUGUAUGUCUGCCUUAGAAUUCACCUUGUAGGCCAGUGGUUUUCAUCAAGUGGUCCUGGGACCCGUGGAUGUCCCUUGGAUCCUUUCAGGGAAAGAGCUCUCAAGACCCAAGCCAGGACUUGAGGGAUAUGUUCACGAGGCACCGGCAUUCCAGGCAGAGGGAUAGAAACAGGAAAGUGCAGGGCAGAUUCUACUGGAACUUCCCAGCCGGCAAACUUAUGU